GACCCUUUCUUUGAAUUUAAAUAACAUGGGUGUUAACACCGUCGUUCUCACCAGCGCAAUUGCAAUAGCGGUGGUGCAGGUGGCGGUGAUGAUCAACGUAUGAUGUUUCAUUGUUGCAAUCUAUGUGAUGGUUUCUUGUUUUAGUAUUCUUUUAUUCGUUGUACAUCAGCCAUAUGUCGUAAUCAAUGGAAACUCUUGUAUUCCUUAAUCAAUGUUUCAAUGUUGUUUCAGAAUGGUAUCAUUUCAGUUAAGGUCCGACCCGACAAACCGAAACAGGAUUAGGUGACAAUUGUUUUUGCUGUGCAAGAUUAGGGGACAUUAAUUUCGCACACCAACUGUUUGAUAAAAUGCUUGAUCGCGAUGUCAAUGCCUGGAAUGCAAUAAAGGAAGAAUCUAUGCAAUAUGGGGAGCAGUUGAUGGGAUAACAAUCGUGUUUUUCACGAUAGGAAUGUAGGCUUGAAGAUCAAUGAGUUUUAGCACACAGGUAAAUCUGGUGGCGGUUGCUCCAGUUUCUGCAUUGGCCCAGGCCCAUCCUCCACAACAAACACUGUGGCCAGACCCCAACCGAUGUGUACGUCUAAGUGGCAGUGCAUGAUCCAGGUAAGCUAACUGUAUUUCUAAGAGGUGGGUCCACAAGGUUGAAUUUAGCAGUAUCGGUUUUAGGGUUGAAGUUUCCGAAUCCCUCUGCAAGUAUAUAGAAAUCGUAUCCAUGAAGAUGAAUCGGGUGGUUCUCAGCUGU